GACGAACGCUGGCGGCGUGCUUAACACAUGCAAGUCGAACGGAAAGGCCUGCUUUCCCUUGUGGAUUGCGGGUACUCGAGUGGCGAACGGGUGUGUAACACGUGAGUGAUCUGCCCCCAACUUCGGUAUAAGCCUGGGAUACUGGGUCUAAUUCCCGAUAGGACUGCAGGGUGGUUCCUGUGGUUGAAAACGUUUUUCUAUUGGUUGGGGAUGAGCUCGCUGCCUAUCAGCUUGUUGGUGGGGUAAUGGACUAACAAGGCGGCAAAAGGUAGUCUUACUGAGAGAGUGGACAGGAAAAUUGGGACAGAGAAACGAAACAGACUCCUACGGGAGGCAGCAGUGGGGAAUAAAGCACAAUGGGCGGAAGCGUGAAGCAGCGACGCGGCGUGAGGGAUGACGGCAUUCGGAUUGUAAACACCUUUCGAAAGAGAGGAAGCCAACUGGUUGGAAGGGUGGUGACGGUAGUGGUAGAAGAAGCACCGGCUAACUACGUG
rnacentral:rRNA from 1 species